rnacentral:rRNA from 1 species
UAGGGAAUCUUCGGCAAUGGGGGGAACCCUGACCGAGCAACGCCGCGUGAGUGAAGAAGGUUUUCGGAUCGUAAAGCUCUGUUGUUAAGGAAGAACGAGUGUGAGAAUGGAAAGUUCAUACUGUGACGGUACUUAACCAGAAAGGGACGGCUAACUACGUGCCAGCAGCCGCGGUAAUACGUAGGUCCCGAGCGUUGUCCGGAUUUAUUGGGCGUAAAGCGAGCGCAGGCGGUUAGAUAAGUCUGAAGUUAAAGGCAGUGGCUCAACCAUUGUAGGCUUUGGAAACUGUUUAACUUGAGUGCAGGAGGGGAGAGUGGAAUUCCAUGUGUAGCGGUGAAAUGCGUAGAUAUAUGGAGGAACACCGGUGGCGAAAGCGGCUCUCUGGUCUGUAACUGACGCUGAGGCUCGAAAGCGUGGGGAGCGAACAGG